rnacentral:tRNA from 1 species
CCCUGAGUGGUGCAAAUGGUUAACACGUUCAGCUGCUAAAUGAAAAGUUGGAGGUGCAAGUCUUCUCAGAGGCA